rnacentral:misc_RNA from 1 species
GGAGGGAUCAUUAACUUGUAUGUUGAUGUAUGACAGCAAUGUUAUGCAUCAACAAUCAAACCAAAACAAAUCAACCCCGUGAAUUCGAGUAUUCAUUUACUCAAUGUCAGCACCGUUAAUUGAAAGGCGAAACGGAGCAUUUAGUUGCUGUCCAGUGACGCGUCACCGAUUGGAAGGGUGUUUUGUGUGGUAACAUACAAAAUGCCUGGUGUCGUCACCUCGUUUAGUAGAUUCGGACAAUUUUAUUUAACCUAUUUCACCAGCUCGUAUAACCAUUGACUGAAACGAAAAGGCGAUUGCUAGUUAACGCUAGCAAACACCUUCAACCUUCGAAUUAUUCGAAUACUAAGCACAACUCUUAGCAACGGAUAUCUUGGUUCUCGUAACGAUGAAGAACGCAGCGAAAUGCGAUAUGUAAUGCGAAUUGCAGAAUUCAGUGAAUCAUCAAAUCUUUGAACGCAAAUGGCGCUCUAGGGAUAUACCUCAGAGCACACCUCUCUCAGUAUCGGUUCAACCUCAACUCAGCUGCGUGCUUGGAUUCGUCCAUCGCACCAUACCGCUGAAAAAUGAAAGUCAUGAUUCGCAAUGUCAUAGCUUGCUAUGCACAUUAACAAUUGCGUCUUUUUUAAAUUUUUGUUUGAGUUUGAGCUUAUGAGCAGAGUGAUCAUAGUGUGUCAACCUUUAUAACAUGCACUGUCAUGCAGCAAUGCUUGACUAGCUUGUGAUAAAUACUACACUAAUGAUUGGAAACAAUGUCAUACUCACACAUCUUUCAUAUGUGACGUGGAUAAUUUGACUGUUUAUUCAGUUGAUUGAAACGUUUCAUUGUAUGAAUGGCGUGUGCAGUGCAAUUUAUUGCAGCAUUGUUUCUUUAAUUAUUAGUCAUUCGUAUUACGUCAUCUAAGUGAACGCUAAUCUUAAAGUGUUGCCACUAUCACAUUCUGUUUGUCAGUGAAAAACGAAUCUAAAUGAUAGCUUGUCUAUCAUCACCCAUUCGAAUUUGAUCUGAGAUGAAGUGAGAAGACCCCCUGAAUUUAAGCAUAUUAAUAAGGGGAGGAAAAGAAAAUAACAAUGAUUGCCUCAGUAACGGCGAGUGAAGCGGCAAGAGCUCAACAUGAAAAUCGUUGAUCCAAGCGGGUCUCCGAAUUGUAUCCUAGAGACGUACUAUCAGCGCGUGACCUAGACAUAAGUCCUUUGGAAAAAGGCAUCAUUGAGGGUGAGAAUCCCGUGUAUUGGUUUAGAGUUCAUUCACCGCGUACGAUGUAUGUUCAUCGAGUCGAGUUGUUUGGGAUUGCAGCUCUAAAUGGGUGGUAAGUUUCACCUAAAGCUAAAUAUUGACGAGAGACCGAUAGCGAACAAGUACCGUGAGGGAAAGAUGAAAAGAACUUUGAAAAGAGAGUUAAAAAGUACUUGAAAUUGCUAAGAGGGAAGCGCUGAAAACCAGUGUCAUUGCUGUCAUUUUGCCCGUGUCAGUCGCUGACACACAUGCCUCAUGUUGGUAACUCAUGUUGUAUGUGCUGUUGGUGAAUGUGCGGCUACUGUGAUAGCAAUAUGUCAGAAUCAGUUUGCUUCGUGGGAGAAGGAUAGAAGAAAGGUAGGUUAGUAGCAAUACUAACUGUUAUAGUCUUUUAUCUCUACCAUGUCGUAGACUGAGGAACAAUUGUAAUGAUGCGCCACUAGGCUUUCAUCUCUGCAUCUGUUGAUGCACACGGGCGUGGAGGUCAAUGACCUGCUGUUUGUGUGUGUUGAUACGCGUGUGGAUGUUAUGGAUAUGCAUGAUCACGAUUCUGACUAAAUGGUUUUCAUCGACCCGUCUUGAAACACGGACCAAGGAGUCUAACAUAUAUGCAAGUAUUUGGGUGGUUCAAACCCUGAUGCGCAAUGAAAGUAAAGGCAUGCUUGUCGUGCUGUGGUAGGAAACUGGUGCGAAAUAACACUAGUGGCACUAUCGACCGAUCAUCACUUGUGAGAGAUUUGAGUAAGAGCAUAUCUGUUGGGACCCGAAAGAUGGUGAUCUAUGCCUGAACAGGGUGAAGCCAGGGGAAACUCUGGUGGAGGCUCGUAGCGAUACUGACGUGCAAAUCGUUCGUCUGAUUUGGGUAUAGGGGCGAAAGACUAAUCGAACUAUCUAGUAGCUGGUUCCCUC